GAAACUUCCAACCCUAGGGAUACUCAAGCCUCCCUUGUUUUUAGCUUCCAAUUUCCCCCCUUAAAUCUCCCCAGCGCCAAAUAGCUUUUGCUCUUUACUUCCCCUCCUUCAUUCCGUAUUUCCAGAUUAUUUGGAGCGCCAGUCAGCCUUGAUUCCAAUCCCAUUGGCUCAUCUGCAAGUUAGAAGGAGGUGCUGGAAACGUCAAAAAGUCGUCAUCCUUGUACCUUGAUCAGAAGUUGAAUGGACCGCUUUUGCCUGAUCUGAUGGCUCACUAUUAAGUUCUUUGGCUUUCCUCUCCUCCUGUAACGAAGCACAUCUGCAUUUUUCUUCCUCCUGUAUUGAGCAGCAGCAAAUCAACUCCUAAAUUGAAGCACUCAAAAU
rnacentral:lncRNA from 1 species